GAUGAACGCUAGCGGCAGGCUUAACACAUGCAAGUCGAGGGGUAUAGAGAGCUUGCUUUCUAGAGACCGGCGCACGGGUGCGUAACGCGUAUGCAAUCUACCUUUCACAAAGGGAUAGCCCAGAGAAAUUUGGAUUAAUACCUCAUAGUAUUAUAGAAUGGCAUCAUUUUAUAAUUAAAGAUUUAUCGGUGAAAGAUGAGCAUGCGUCCCAUUAGUUAGUUGGUAAGGUAACGGCUUACCAAGACUACGAUGGGUAGGGGUCCUGAGAGGGAGAUCCCCCACACUGGUACUGAGACACGGACCAGACUCCUACGGGAGGCAGCAGUGAGGAAUAUUGGACAAUGGGCGCAAGCCUGAUCCAGCCAUGCCGCGUGCAGGAUGACGGUCCUAUGGAUUGUAAACUGCUUUUAUACAGGAAGAAACCCUCCGACGUGUCGGAGCUUGACGGUACUGUAAGAAUAAGGAUCGGCUAACUCCGUGCCAGCAGCCGAC
rnacentral:rRNA from 1 species